AACGAACGCUGGCGGCAGGCUUAACACAUGCAAGUCGAACGAGAUCUUCGGAUCUAGUGGCAGACGGGUGAGGAACACGUGGGAACAUCCCUUUCAGUUCGGAAUAACGUUGGGAAACUAACGCUAAUACCGGAUACGUCCUUCGGGAGAAAGAUUUAUCGCUGAAAGAUUGGCCCGCGUCUGAUUAGCUAGUUGGUGAGGUAACGGCUCACCAAGGCUACGAUCAGUAGCUGAUCUGAGAGGAUGAUCAGCCACAUUGGGACUGGGACACGGCCCAAACUCCUACGGGAGGCAGCAGUGGGGAAUAUUGGACAAUGGGCGCAAGCCUGAUCCAGCCAUGCCGCGUGAGUGAUGACGGCCUUCGGGUUGUAAAGCUCUUUUGUCCGGGAAGAUAAUGACUGUACCGAAAGAAUAAGCCCCGGCAAACUUCGUGCCAGCCGCCGCCGUAA
rnacentral:rRNA from 1 species